AUUUUUUUUGUUCUGCAUAAUGAUCAGGAUCAAUCGAUCAGUUCGACCUUGUAAUUUCGGAUCGAUCGAUCCCACUUGAUCGAACUCAUUAUUUAUUAUAUUUAAAAAUUACAAUUUUAAGGGAAUUAUUGCUAUUUUGAAAAUAGUUAACCUAACGGGACAUAAAGUAUAUGUGAUUAGUCUAAACGGACAUAGUUAUCAUUUUUUGCUUUUAAAAAAAAAUUUCCCAAAUAUUUUUAACAAUAUUAUACAACUUCACCUAAUUUUGUGUUAGUCAAAGAUAUUUUAUUCUAUUCCUUUUUCUUAUUUUUGUAUUAUUAACUUCUUCUUUUUAAUUAUUAUUUUACAAAAUCUUAUUAGUUGUAAAUUUUAUUUGUAAUAGAAAUUUAUAAAUUAUUUUGUUAUUGAUAAAUAUUAUAAUCCGUAAGUAUAGUUCUUAGAAAAAUAUAUAUUGCAACAUAAUUUUUGUUAAAAUUUAUUUUAUACAUUUAUUUUUAUUAUUUAUUUAUUUUUAAUAGGUUAAUGUUUUUUUGUUAUUAAUAAUAAUUCAUUGUCUUAUGUUUAUAUUUAUUUGAUUAAAAACCAUACUUUAGAUUGUAACUUUUAUUUUUACUGCAAACUUACCAUAUAUAAAGUUACAGUUUAUACCACAUGAUUUUUACCGCAAGUUACAUCGAAUUGUAAUACAUAUUGCAACUCGAUUUUAAUACUACAUGUCACCGGUCGGAGCCUUAAUAUUUGUACUCAUACAUAAUAUCUUUAUAACUCUUCAUAAAAUAAUUGGUUAUAGUCACAAAACUAUAUGAUGGUUAUAAGAAUUUUUUUUCUUUUCAGUUUCAAGAUUCAAACCCAUGAUUUUUUUCAUAAAAUUGUUGAUUGAAAUUAAAAAGCUUAUUUUCCUAGAAUUUCAUGUAUUUUGCAAAAUCCAGUAUGAUCAUUAAUCACCAUACUUUCUAUGAAAUUAUAAUUUUAUAGUGAACUAAUUUUAAAAAUAAGCAAUUGAUCUGGUGUAUCCAAAGUGAUGCUACUUUCAUGGCAUGUUUUCCACUUUUCAUCUAUUUCACAUAUCUAUACUAUUAAAACACAAUCCUUACUAAGAUUAUGUCCUUAUUUUUCAACUUAUUUACAAGAUUAUGCCAUUUCAUUAUUUAAUUUUAAAUUUUUAAUUAAAACCGUAUGGGUAACACCCACGUUUUAAUCUCUUUAUUUUUUACUUUUUUGUUAUUAACUUUUAAAAAAUAGAUGAACCUAUGGCUUUUUUUCACUCAUCGUUCAUAAACUAAUUCACUACAAGAAUUAUUGAAAAUAGCGAAGGACUGGCGAAAACAUUUUCGUAGCCAUAAUUAUUAGCGAAGAAAGUUGCGACGGAUAGCGACAAAACAAAAAAAUGCUAAGUUUGUAGCUAAUCCGUAGCGAUCUAUUGCUAUCUUGCUACGAAUAUGAUCUAUAGUCAUUCUCUAGCUAAAUAGCUACUAACCAGAGAGAAAUAAAUUGUCGCCAAAUUUUUUUGUGGUUGGCAAAAGAUGCUAUAAAUAUUUAUGUAUCUAACUGAUAUGUAUGUGCUAUAUGUUUGAAAUUUGCACUUGUGGCACAUGAUCGAUACUAGUAAUGUUUGAAUUAAGACAAUGCGUACAUUAGACCCUUCAAAUAUUAUAUGUUUAUCGUGUUUGGUGAUACUUGUGUUAAAGAUUUAGGGUUUAGAGUAUAGGGAUUGUGGUUUGGGGCUAAGGGUUAAACGCUUUAUAUUUAAGAAGUUGUUAAAAAUAUCGUAAAUUAUAUUUUCUUAGAAAUUUAUAUUGGAUUACUAAAAAUGCAUAAAACUGUGAUGUUAGAAUGAAAAUAUUUGGUAACUAAAAAUAUAUAAAUUUAUAUUUAAUAAUUUGUAGUUACCAAAUAUUUUCAUUCUAACAUCACAAAUUUAUAUUUAAUAAUUUGUUAAAAAUAUAAAAAUUUGGUUAGUAAAUUAUAAUUGGUUAGGUGAAAUUUAUUUUUCACUAUUAAAAUGUAUGAAUUUGGUUAUUAUAAAUAUCCUUUUCAUUUUUAUAUCAAAAAUGUUAUUUUUCUCCAUUAAUUAUUUUGCAUCCACACAUUUCCCUCCUAAAUAGUUUUGGCUCCACUAAUUGCCUCCAUUUUCCUAUUUCCCUCCCAAGUACUUUUGGGUUUAGCUCCAGAAUAACACUAAAGAUAAUAAUUUCGUGAGUGCUUCCUAUUGGUUGGAAAGGGAGUGUGCGGAUUACAAAUUUGGACCGUUGAUCAGUCGAAUCUAAUGGUCCAGAUUUAUUAAUCUGUGUCUGUUUCUUUCUCUAUCACUCUCAUAUGUUUCUCUCUUUUCCAUCUCUAUCAAUGAAGACUCUUCUCUAUGUCUCCUCCUCAAUCACCGUGAAACAACUCCAAGGAUUAAGAAGAAGAAGACUUGAGAAGCUUUAGGAGAAGACUAGGAAUGGAGGUUCAAUUGGGUCUCUUACUCUCUCUCUCUUUCUCAGAUUCAGUUUUGUUUUUGAUUCUUCAGAAGCAUGAGUGCAGCAGGCUUAGCAGCUAAGCAGACGGAGGAGGCAGACAGAAGAAUCACCUGAAAAGCAUGGGAAGAAGCACCGGCGACAAGAGAUGGUGGAGGUGGAGAAGACGAUUGCGGCAUGAGAUGGUGGGGGUGGAGCUGAGGCCAUCAACGCCGGAUCUGAAGAACCUAGGGUCCAGAGGAAGCUAGUGCUGGUGGUGUCGACGAAGCUUCACUGUGCGGCGGAUGAUAGGAGAUACUCGUAUAUAUUUCAACGACAACGUUUUUUGUAGUGAUGCUUAUAUACUGCUGGUUUAGUCAAGUACCGUGUACCACCAGCGGUUCUUCCACGUCAAGCUUGUUAUCAGAGUCAAUGUAUGAGCCAGCAGUUGAUAGCUAUGUGUGAAGCUCGGGGAUUAAAAGUGCCAGUACAUAUGCCUCACCCACCGCUCGCCAUCUACAUGUCUCUGUAUCAACGAGCAUACGAACUACGAUUCUUCCCCAACAAGUAGAUGAAUCUAGAUAGCAUCUAAGGCACAUGUUUUUGAAUUCUUACAGGAUCUCUACUAGAAAUAUUUUUCUCAUAUUUUUAUAUUUUGUUGUCUAGUUUUCACUUUUUAGAUUUAAGCAUUCGUUUGUAGACUACAAGAUCAACUAUAAUUUUACAAUGUAUCAAAAAUUUUGGUUUUUAA